rnacentral:rRNA from 1 species
UACGUAGGGCGCAAGCGUUGUCCGGAAUUAUUGGGCGUAAAGAGCUCGUAGGCGGCUUGUCACGUCGGGUGUGAAAGCCCGGGGCUUAACCCCGGGUCUGCAUUCGAUACGGGCAGGCUAGAGUGUGGUAGGGGAGAUCGGAAUUCCUGGUGUAGCGGUGAAAUGCGCAGAUAUCAGGAGGAACACCGGUGGCGAAGGCGGAUCUCUGGGCCAUUACUGACGCUGAGGAGCGAAAGCGUGGGGAGCGAACAGG